rnacentral:lncRNA from 1 species
GGUAGUUACUGAAAUUUCAAAUUAAGAAUCAAAUUUCAACCAAACCUAUAUUACUGAUCUUCAUGAAGUCGCAACAAUAUCAAUACAAACACAAACCCAUGAUUUAGACUGCAAUGCAGCAUGUAAUUUCAGCCAAACAAACACAAAAGCGUGAAAUGUCUACAACAAAAUGCUGCAAGACAGUCUCAUAACAGAAAACGACAAACAAACGAACAAUGCAAAUGUGAUUUUCACCAAAGGAACACAAACCCAUCAAAUUUCAACAACCAAAUCGAUAUAUUUAGGAAACCGCGACCCAAACAGCCGACUGAAGAAGAAACGAAGCAGCAAAUGAAAUCGAACAACGGUGACAAGAUGGAAGCAGCAUAUGAAAACGAACAACGGGGACACGCAGCUGAAACGAAGCAGCAGAUUAAAUCGCAGAAGAGAGCUGCUCCUUAUCAAGCUGAAUCUAACAACAGUGACAAAAUGGGUGAUGAGCUGUCCAACAUCAUUGUUCACGAGAAUCUCUGCAGCCCGCCAGGGCUAUGUUCGACAGCAACAGUGUCGAGCAUAGCCUGGACGCCCUAAAACACCUACAGCUCCGUGGCUUAAAAGCCGAAGCUACCCGCCCAGCAGAUUCAAAAACUUGCUCAUUCCCUUCCUCAUCUUCUUCAAAUUUCUCUGGUUUCAACUUUCUCGUUCCAUUACUCAUCUACUUCAACUUUGGUGGUUUCUCAUUCCCUUCUCUGAAAUAGGCAUGUUUAUAUUUAUUAUUUUUUUUAUUUUUAGAUACG